AUGGGCUUGUUGGCCUGCUGUCUUAAUCUGAUUAACCUUCCCUGCGCUUGUCACCCAAUCAGGUUUUUGUCAUCUGCCUAUCCUGUGGGAAAGGGUGGAGGGCUCCUUUCAGGGUGGGGUAAAACCCUUUUAAGGGUGGUUUCCUCUAAGGGCAGGACCCCUUGUCCCUGCCUGCCUUCCUUCCAACCAUCCUUUGUUACUAAUAACUAUUUUAUCAUCAUUAUUAUGGAAAAAAAAAUGUUGAGUUCCAAACAAUUUAUUUGUGAACACACAAAUACACUGGGAAUUUCCAGAAGGGUAUUUUAAUAAAGGUAAAGGAUUUGGAAAUAUUUAUUUCAUGCACUUAUUCAUUUAUUCUUCUUUAAGUUCCUCUGUAAGGAGGAGAAAGAUUUUGCAGAUUUUUUUCAUUGCUGUAUGUCCCUGGUCCAUAAAUAGUAUUUGGCAUACAGUAAGUACUCUGUAAAUGUCAAAUUCACCAAUUCAUUCAUUCAACAAGCACUUAUUGAUCACCAUAGGUAUUCUGCUAGAUGCUGGAGAAGCAAAGAUGAGGAAGUCAUUGUUCUUGUGUUAAGGGAGCUGUAGGUAUGCUGGAAGAAACACAUAUACUGUAGCGAUAAAAAUAUGUUGAUAUAAGCAUAUAAAGGAGAAUAAUUUAUAUGGUGGGCACUGGGGCCAGAUGAAUUUUUUUUCAAAGAUUUUAUUUAUUUAUUCAAGAGAGACACAAAGAGAGAAAGGCAGAGACAUAGGCAGAGGAAGAAGCAGGCUCCCCCCAGGACCCUGGGAUUAUGACCUGAGCCAAAGACAGAUGCUCAACCACUGAGCCACCCAUUGCUACAUGAAUUGUAUAGGGAAAUAGAUGUAAAGAAAAGGAUGUAAUAAUGUAAUUAAUAAUCCUCUCCUUUGGAAAAGCAAAUGACUCUUGGCCUUGAGGUUAUGAGUUUGAGUGCCACGUUGGGUAUAAAGAUUGCUAAAAACAAGAAACCUUAAGAAAUAUAUAUGAAAAGAAAGGACAUAGCUGGAAGAGAAAUAGUGGCUUAUGAUUCUGGAAUCUGUCCCAUUCAGAUUGCUCAAACCUGACAAGAUGAAUUUGAAACUAUAUUUUUCUGAUGGUUGAAUAUUUGACUACAGUGGUACCUGGUAAAGAUGCACUGAUAAAUCAGUUUCUUUGUUUUAAUCAGCUGCCUAUAGGGCCACUCUUCUCUAAAUAUCCAUUAUUUUCGACUCCUAUCAAAAUUUUUAAAAAAUAUAUUUUAUUCUAAAGUAAGAUCUUCAGAAGAUCAUAGAUUUAUGUGUGGAUUUCCUUUAUAAAAGAUUUUAUUUAUUUAUUCAUGAGAGACACAGAGAGGCAGAGACACAGGCAGAGUGAGAAGCAGGCUUUAUGCAGGGACCCUGAUGAUCCCAGGACUCCAGGAUCACACCCUGGGCUGAAGGCAGGCGCAAAACCGCUGAGCCACCCGGGCUGCCCUAUGUGGAUUUCCAUGUCACUCAGGUGAUUUCAUGUCCUGAUGCCAUAUACCUCGAGCAACUGAAAGUAUAGAUUCAAGCUUAACAACAUUUUUUUUUUUCUCUGAUUAGUAUGGCUUGACGGGGAGCAGAAUAUGUGACCCUCAAGUAUGCCACUUUGAGCAAAAUAUGCUAUUUUGAGCUGAAGACAAUUAAGACACAGCAGACUCAAGAAAAGCUUUAUCUCUCUCUUCACUACCCAAAAGAAUUUAGAUAGGAGGUCUGGCUCAGGAAAAGAAUUAUACCCAGAGAUAUCUUUUAUCUGAAUGACCUAGCUGUAUGGCAGGACAAACAUCUAAUUACCAAACAUCUGCUCUUCUUAUCAUCCUCUGAAUCACCCUCCUCCCAUUUGAAGCCCCAGGCUCCUAUCCCAUUUCUUAGCUUAGGAUGGCAUAUAAACCUCAAUUGUCUGACUUGUCCUUGGGUCUCUUGUGCUUAUGGGGCUCCCAUAGGUAUAUGUAGUUAGGGUUUCUCUUGUUUCUCUGUUUUAUAUCAAUUUUCCAUCAAGAAUCUAGAAGGGUAAAGGAAAAUUUUUCCUCCUCAACAGGAUUAAAAAAAAAUUAAAUCUAUUUUCGGGUUAAAAUGUAACAUGCACAUGCUUCCCUAGUUAGCAUGUGGAUAACCAAAGACUUAAAGUCAGCUAUACGAAAAAGUUACAGGGGAAAUAAAGAUUCCAAUUGACUUUAAUUAUCUGAAUCA
rnacentral:lncRNA from 12 species